rnacentral:sRNA from 1 species
GCCCAAAGUCGCACGAGCCUGUGGGCGUCCCCCGAUCCUCAAAUGCGAGGCCAUCGGGACGGUCCUGGAGAUAGCCUCCAGUCGGUUUCGCGUCAGCGAAGUCGAGGACGCCUUAAAGCAACGACGGUGCGGGCCUUU